rnacentral:rRNA from 1 species
AUUGAACGCUGGCGGCAGGCCUAACACAUGCAAGUCGAACGAGGGGCGGACGGGUGAGUAAUGUAUGGGGAUCUGCCUGAUGGAGGGGGAUAACUACUGGAAACGGUAGCUAAUACCGCAUACCAUCAGAUGAACCCAUAUGGGAUUAGCUGAUAGGUAGGGUAACGGCUUACCUAGGCGACGAUCCCUAGCUGGUCUGAGAGGAUGAACAGCCACACCGGAACUGCGACACGGCCCAGACGCCUACGGGAGGAAGCAGUGGGGAAUAUUGCACAAUGGGCGAAAGCCUGAUGCAGCAAUGCCGCGUGUAUGAAGAAGGCCUUCGGGUUGUAAAGUUCGUUCAGUCGGGAGGCGGUACCAACAGAAGAAGCACCGGCUAACUCCGUGCCAGCAGCCGCGGUAAUAC